GGUCGCGACCCACAGGUUGAGAACUGCUUAAACCAACAUAUAGUUUCACUCAUUUACACUCCAGGGAGAGAGAGGAGAACUGUGAGGAGCGAAAUGCCACAGAAUGCAAUCACCCCUCAUCCCACCCUGGCAAACUUCUGAAGAAAUGGAAUUGAUCACUUCUUUCCCAUUUCAAGUCUCUCUUUCUAACCAGAGUUUUUUCUCAGUGCAUUGGCAUGUGAAAAGUCCAUGAGGAAAGGAAAUUCACAAGGUUACUUUAUUGACUAAGACAUUUUGCCUGCCUCCAAGAAGAUACUGCAGUCUUCUCCAGCUACGGUAGGAAUGGAGCAUCGAGAAAAUGUCUUGCAUUUCAGUAGGAGGGAACUUAGAGCAACAGGAAGAUCAGUACUAAAAUUUCCCUACUUUCUUGAGAAAAGUAAAGCUUUGAGAGGUUAAAGGACUCGGCGUAGCUUAUUCAGGUAGAGUGGCGAGGUCACAGCUGAGCCUUCGAUUCUAGUUUCAGAGGUCACGUGUUCUCUAUUGCACCUGUGUGUGUGUGGGGGGGGGGGGGGGGUUUGCUGGGGUCUCCAAGCCUGACUGCUACCCGUUUCUAGUCUCAUCUAAUCAGCAUUCUGACAUCCUUCUCUGUGCUCCAGGCACACGGAGCUGCUGGAUAAAAUAUAACAAAACUAUUUUACAUCGUGGAGGGAGGAUGAUUCCUAUCUGCCAAAAGGAGAACCCCGUAAGCAACGCGAUGCUCUGGAUGGUGUUCAGGAAGAUGCCUUUUACAAAAGCUACUCUGGUCAUCGGUCUCUAGGGCAGUCAUGCUACUUGGUGCCAGAAGAUGAUCCCAAAAGAAAGGCAAGGAUACUCAGAAAUACGCUUGGCAUCAUCCUGCUCUCCGCCCUGCUCACGCUUCUCCUGUCAUGCCGUGUUGAGUUUCUGCGCCAUGCCACGCUCUUUCCCCUUGCAGGGGUUCUGUGCCUGCUUUUCCUCUGCCUAAGAGGCCCUUCCUGCUGCUCUCCAGAUACCUGGCUUCCCAUUCCUUAGGUCUCAGCUUAAAUGUCACUUCACUUAAAUCCUAGGGAGUCCUUCCCUGUCUGUUCUGUCUAGAGUAAUCACCACAUAAAUGCUACCAUUCCUGAACACUAUUUCCUUUAUAACACAUGUAGCAUUCUGUAAUUAUUUUAUGUGUGUACAUAAUUUGUGGUCUGUACACCUAGCUAUAAUGAGACCUUAAAACGCAGUGCUUCUUCGGGGCUUGGCACAAAAUAGAUUCUUAAUAAAUAUUUGUUAGUUAAAAAAAAAACACAACACAUGUGCAUCUAUGUCAUUAAACUUGAGUGUAUUAAUGAUGCAGUACAGGUGAAAAACAUUUAAAUUGUAUUUUAUCUGUACCAAACUCUACAUGCAAAUCUAUUUCAUAAUGUUCAAAACUGUUCCAUAUUGGAUUAAUGAUUUGAUGCUACACCAAAAAUAUCAUUACCUUUUAACGUUAUAAAUUUUUAUUGUAUUGCAAUGUUUCAAAUGCUCAUGUCCAUAACUCCUGCAAUAUUUUCAUGAAAUGUGUCAGUUAUUUUAUCCUUAGUAAAUAAAUUAUGUGCCAAAUUUGAGUUGUGAAAGAAUGACAUAUUUAGAGAACUCCAAGUGUGUGAAUGGUUAUACGUAAAGGGGGGAAUUACCUUCCCCUUUAUCCACCAGUCAAAUUGUUCAUUCUCCGCUGAUGCUCCAGUUAUGUGGAAAAGGUCAAGUAGGACUAAAACAAAUACACCUCUGAACCGCCAAUCACAGAGGUUCCCAGCAGCCUUGAGCCCUGACCUAAUUGAGCAUUGGAUUUGCAUGAAAAUAAGACACUUGCCACUGUCACAUGCUUUGCAUCUAUAAUCAGCAAAAUAUGAGGCUUAAAGUUCAGGUUCAGAUUGGCAUUCUCUAACAUGCUGGAGGAAGUGGAUCGUGACCUUUCAAAGCCACAAACAAUCGCUUACUGUCCAUUUCUUCUCAGCCACCUGGAACGUCAAAUCAAGAAGCACCUUUGGAAGCCUCAGAGUUUGAGUUGCAAAGUGACACCCAAGUCAUCUAGCGAUUGCAUGUAGAG